UUAAGCGACUAAGCGUACACGGUGGAUGCCCUGGCAGUCAGAGGCGAUGAAGGACGUGCUAAUCUGCGAAAAGCGUCGGUAAGGUGAUAUGAACCGUUAUAACCGGCGAUGUCCGAAUGGGGAAACCCAGUGUGAUUCGUCACACUAUCGUUAACUGAAUACAUAGGUUAACGAGGCGAACCGGGGGAACUGAAACAUCUAAGUACCCCGAGGAAAAGAAAUCAACCGAGAUUCCCC
rnacentral:rRNA from 1 species